UUAAGCGACUAAGCGUACACGGUGGAUGCCCUGGCAGUCAGAGGCGAUGAAGGACGUGCUAAUCUGCGAUAAGCGUCGGUAAGGUGAUAUGAACCGUUAUAACCGGCGAUUUCCGAAUGGGGAAACCCAGUGUGAUUCGUCACACUAUCAUUAACUGAAUCCAUAGGUUAAUGAGGCGAACCGGGGGAACUGAAACAUCUAAGUACCCCGAGGAAAAGAAAUCAACCGAGAUUCCCCCAGUAGCGGCGAGCGAACGGGGAGGAGCCCAGAGCCUGAAUCAGUGUGUGUGUUAGUGGAAGCGUCUGGAAAGGCGCGCGAUACAGGGUGACAGCCCCGUACACAAAAAUGCACAUACUGUGAGCUCGAUGAGUAGGGCGGGACACGUGGUAUCCUGUCUGAAUAUGGGGGGACCAUCCUCCAAGGCUAAAUACUCCUGACUGACCGAUAGUGAACCAGUACCGUGAGGGAAAGGCGAAAAGAACCCCGGCGAGGGGAGUGAAAAAGAACCUGAAACCGUGUACGUACAAGCAGUGGGAGCACUCUUCGGCGUGUGACUGCGUACCUUUUGUAUAAUGGGUCAGCGACUUAUAUUCUGUAGCAAGGUUAACCGAAUAGGGGAGCCGAAGGGAAACCGAGUCUUAACUGGGCGUUAAGUUGCAGGGUAUAGACCCGAAACCCGGUGAUCUAGCCAUGGGCAGGUUGAAGGUUGGGUAACACUAACUGGAGGACCGAACCGACUAAUGUUGAAAAAUUAGCGGAUGACUUGUGGCUGGGGGUGAAAGGCCAAUCAAACCGGGAGAUAGCUGGUUCUCCCCGAAAGCUAUUUAGGUAGCGCCUCGUGAAUUCAUCUCCGGGGGUAGAGCACUGUUUCGGCAAGGGGGUCAUCCCGACUUACCAACCCGAUGCAAACUGCGAAUACCGGAGAAUGUUAUCACGGGAGACACACGGCGGGUGCUAACGUCCGUCGUGAAGAGGGAAACAACCCAGACCGCCAGCUAAGGUCCCAAAGUCAUGGUUAAGUGGGAAACGAUGUGGGAAGGCCCAGACAGCCAGGAUGUUGGCUUAGAAGCAGCCAUCAUUUAAAGAAAGCGUAAUAGCUCACUGGUCGAGUCGGCCUGCGCGGAAGAUGUAACGGGGCUAAACCAUGCACCGAAGCUGCGGCAGCGACACUAUGUGUUGUUGGGUAGGGGAGCGUUCUGUAAGCCUGUGAAGGUGUGCUGUGAGGCAUGCUGGAGGUAUCAGAAGUGCGAAUGCUGACAUAAGUAACGAUAAAGCGGGUGAAAAGCCCGCUCGCCGGAAGACCAAGGGUUCCUGUCCAACGUUAAUCGGGGCAGGGUGAGUCGACCCCUAAGGCGAGGCCGAAAGGCGUAGUCGAUGGGAAACAGGUUAAUAUUCCUGUACUUGGUGUUACUGCGAAGGGGGGACGGAGAAGGCUAUGUUGGCCGGGCGACGGUUGUCCCGGUUUAAGCGUGUAGGCUGAUUUUCCAGGCAAAUCCGGAAAAUCAAGGCUGAGGCGUGAUGACGAGGCACUACGGUGCUGAAGCAACAAAUGCCCUGCUUCCAGGAAAAGCCUCUAAGCAUCAGGUAACAUCAAAUCGUACCCCAAACCGACACAGGUGGUCAGGUAGAGAAUACCAAGGCGCUUGAGAGAACUCGGGUGAAGGAACUAGGCAAAAUGGUGCCGUAACUUCGGGAGAAGGCACGCUGAUAUGUAGGUGAAGCGACUUGCUCGUGGAGCUGAAAUCAGUCGAAGAUACCAGCUGGCUGCAACUGUUUAUUAAAAACACAGCACUGUGCAAACACGAAAGUGGACGUAUACGGUGUGACGCCUGCCCGGUGCCGGAAGGUUAAUUGAUGGGGUUAGCGGUAACGCGAAGCUCUUGAUCGAAGCCCCGGUAAACGGCGGCCGUAACUAUAACGGUCCUAAGGUAGCGAAAUUCCUUGUCGGGUAAGUUCCGACCUGCACGAAUGGCGUAAUGAUGGCCAGGCUGUCUCCACCCGAGACUCAGUGAAAUUGAACUCGCUGUGAAGAUGCAGUGUACCCGCGGCAAGACGGAAAGACCCCGUGAACCUUUACUAUAGCUUGACACUGAACAUUGAGCCUUGAUGUGUAGGAUAGGUGGGAGGCUUUGAAGUGUGGACGCCAGUCUGCAUGGAGCCGACCUUGAAAUACCACCCUUUAAUGUUUGAUGUUCUAACGUUGACCCGUGAUCCGGGUUGCGGACAGUGUCUGGUGGGUAGUUUGACUGGGGCGGUCUCCUCCUAAAGAGUAACGGAGGAGCACGAAGGUUGGCUAAUCCUGGUCGGACAUCAGGAGGUUAGUGCAAUGGCAUAAGCCAGCUUGACUGCGAGCGUGACGGCGCGAGCAGGUGCGAAAGCAGGUCAUAGUGAUCCGGUGGUUCUGAAUGGAAGGGCCAUCGCUCAACGGAUAAAAGGUACUCCGGGGAUAACAGGCUGAUACCGCCCAAGAGUUCAUAUCGACGGCGGUGUUUGGCACCUCGAUGUCGGCUCAUCACAUCCUGGGGCUGAAGUAGGUCCCAAGGGUAUGGCUGUUCGCCAUUUAAAGUGGUACGCGAGCUGGGUUUAGAACGUCGUGAGACAGUUCGGUCCCUAUCUGCCGUGGGCGCUGGAGAACUGAGGGGGGCUGCUCCUAGUACGAGAGGACCGGAGUGGACGCAUCACUGGUGUUCGGGUUGUCAUGCCAAUGGCACUGCCCGGUAGCUAAAUGCGGAAGAGAUAAGUGCUGAAAGCAUCUAAGCACGAAACUUGCCCCGAGAUGAGUUCUCCCUGACUCCUUGAGAGUCCUGAAGGAACGUUGAAGACGACGACGUUGAUAGGCCGGGUGUGUAAGCGCAGCGAUGCGUUGAGCUAACCGGUACUAAUGAACCGUGAGGCUUAACCUU
rnacentral:rRNA from 1 species